CUCGGAUGUUCCACAUUUUAUUAAAGUAUUAAAGUUGGUUAAUUAAGGAAAGCGCGUUUUGGACGUCGUCAUCUUUGAUAUUCACGUUAGUCACUGUCGCUAUGGUUACAGGUGAUUGCUACUUUUAUGAAUGUAACGUUACUUGAACAGCUUCAUUGUAGUCGCUCUGGCUUCAUGUGUUUGACUAGGAAGAAGAUAUCUGUCUAUUUAUGAAGAGUGGCAAGAAAGAGCAAUAAAAGUUCAGCUUCCUCGACAGGAAAAUUACAUGAUUCAGGUACUAAAAAAUACAUCUAGAACUAUACACCAAUAUAACUUCUCAGAAAGCCUUUGAUUGCAUUGCUACCAGCUGCUACCAACUGUGCUUCAUCUCAACUCACCUUGAAAACAGUGUAUUUAACUCUCUCUGUUUCCAUAGCACUCAGCCUUUGUUAGAGACCCAGAAAGAGAGAGAUGUGAGGGCUGGAACUGAAUGAUGGAGGGUUGCUACUGUUCAGUGAGCUUGUUAGUGAAGGGAUUCUGGAACAGUCACGCAUGAAGGAGCUACAUGUACCUCCGGCCGGCUCUCUAUAAAGCAGAAUCCUUCAGACGUAGACGGUUCUUUGAGCGGUAAUCCAGUUCACAUUGUUUGUCUUCUCUGAAAGAGCGGGAUGAAAGAGAGACAAACUCUUGCAACAGUUUGUAUGAGUGCUGGUGUCUUUAGGAAGCUCAGGAUAGUGAGGAUGUUUCAGACGUCAGAGCUACAGCAAACACCUGCCAUCUAUUGGACCAUGUGUUCUUCAUCAGCAGCUUUGACGCUUAUCUGUACGUGUGUGUUUGUACUUUGCCAAAAUGUUCUACACACACACACACAAAGAACAAAAUAAAAACAAACAAAAAGUGAGCCACUGGGGG
ensembl:lncRNA